UGGGGAAUUUUGCGCAAUGGGGGAAACCCUGACGCAGCAACGCCGCGUGGAGGAUGAAGCCCCUUGGGGCGUAAACUCCUUUCGACCAAGACGAUAAUGACGGUACUGGUGGAAGAAGCACCGGCUAACUCUGUGCCAGCAGCCGCGGUAAUACAGAGGGUGCAAGCGUUGUUCGGAAUUAUUGGGCGUAAAGGGUUCGUAGGCGGUGUGGCAAGUCGGGAGUGAAAUCUCUGGGCUCAACCCAGAGUCUGCUUCCGAGACUGCUGUGCUUGAGUGUGGGAGAGGCGCGUGGAAUUGCAGGUGUAGCGGUGAAAUGCGUAGAUAUCUGCAGGAACACCCGUGGCGAAAGCGGCGCGCUGGACCACUACUGACGCUGAGGAACGAAAGCUAGGGGAGCAAACAGGAUUAGAUACCCUGGUAGUCCUAGCCCUAAACGAUCAGGACUUGGGGUGCCGCCCGUUCGGGCGUCGUCCCGGAGUUAACGCGUUAAGUCCUGCACCUGGGGAGUACGGUCGCAAGACUG
rnacentral:rRNA from 1 species